UUGGUAGAAGUUCUAUUAGGGGUUUGAGGAGGACCCUACCUCAAAGAUGAAUAGAGUUCGCAGAAUCUAUAAAGCACAUGAGUAGUAACUUUUAUUUUUAAUUGGUUUUGAGAUUGACAAAAAAAAAAGAGGUAUUGCAGAUAUGCAAGCUUUGGUAUGAAAAGUUGUUUGUUGUAAAACGAAAGCAAGAUUUGUUCACUUUCCCUUCUUGUUAGUUUAGGAUCUAAAAGUCGAUUUCAUUGCGUCAAUCUACCUGACAAAGGGAAAAGGAUAAAGUUGAACGCUUAAAAAAUUGAAGGGUUGGUCACAAGAUGCGAUCCAGAAUCAACCAUGGUCUAUUUAAUCAUUUAUGCAGAAAUAAAAAAUGAAGUUACAGAUUUGUUUAUUUAGAAGUUGCGUCCUUUCAUUUUCUUUUCUUUCAACAUGCUUGAACACAGCUUUUAUGGGUGGAUUUUUGUGGGCAAGGGAAGUUAGGCCUUUUGCUAAUGAACUUCUCUUUCACUGUUCUUUUGUUUGUAGUGGUGUGAAUUUGAACUCUGGAUUUUUAGCGGUGUGCAAAUUGCUGCUUGUUUUACACACUUUUGUUGUCUGACUAAGACCAAAUUCAUGUGCUCGAAUCUUGCACAACUGUAGGCAUGAAAACGAGCUGCUUUCUAUUGGCUGAUAGGCGAAACAGUUCUUUCGCUUGGUGACUGCAAGAUUCUGACUGGUUUAUGCUAUGCUAGUUUGUCAUGGGCUGCUAUCAUUCAAAGAAACCUAAAUCUCCAGGAUACGAGGAGCCCACUGUUCUUGCUGCAGAAACACCUUUUACAGUGAGCGAGGUAGAGGCAUUAUACGAGCUUUUUAAGAAACUGAGCAGUUCAAUUAUUAACGAUGGACUGAUCCAUAGGGAAGAAUUUCAGCUCGCGUUGUUCAGAAAUAGAAAUAUGAAAAAUCUUUUUGCAGACAGAAUUUUCGAUUUAUUUGACCUGAAGCGAAAUGGGGUUAUUGAAUUUGGGGAGUUUGUCAGAUCCUUGGGCAUCUUUCAUCCUAAUGCAUCUAUUAAAGAUAAAAUUACAUUUGCUUUUAGGCUAUACGAUUUGAGGCAGACAGGGUUUAUAGAGCAAGAAGAGUUGAAGGAAAUGGUUUUGGCUCUUCUACAUGAAUCAGAGUUGAUUCUUUCGGAUGAUGUGAUUGAAACAAUUGUGGAAAAGUACAGACAUUUAAUGAAGCCGACAUGAAGGGCGAUGGAAAGAUUGAUGAAGAAGAGUGGAGGGAGUUUGUGAUGAAGUAUCCAUCAUUGAUCAAGAACAUGACAUUACCAUACCUAAAGGAUAUCAGCAUGGCAUUCCCAAGUUUUGUUGCAACUACAGAAGUCGAAGAUUCAGAUAUGUAGACAAGUUUUUGGUGGUUUUUAGAGUAUAUCAACAAGAACGCCUGAGACGAUAGCUUAAAGAUACGAAUAUGUGAAGUGUGCAGUGAUUUGGGAAGAACAGAAAUAGGUAUUCUCUGAACUGUACGUUUAGGAAGAUCUAAAUUAGGCAUAUUAUAGAGUUGCAUUAUUACUAUGUGCAUAAAAACGAAGAAACUUUGAUGUUGAUUAUAAUUGAAGUGUGAAGUGUAUAUGCAUAUUCAUAGUGUGAGUAGGCUGAACCACAAGGAUAUGUAUAAGAGGAAGAAAUUUCAUUGCACUUUAGCUUAGUGAGAAAGGAAGAAAAAGAAAGAAAGAAAAAGAAAGAAAGAAAAAGAAAGAAAGAGAGGAGACAGGAUUUUCCAAACAUCCCUUUUCCUUCCUUUUUCCUUUGAAAAGGAAGGUAGGAAAAGAGAUAGGAAAAGAGAGUAAACAAAUUUCAUUGCCA